UAACCACUCAAGCUCUCGCUUGGUAUUGGGGUUCGCGGUUUCGCGGCCCCUAAAAUCAGUGGCGGUGCCUGUCGGCUCUACGCGUAGUAAUACUCCUCGCGUCUGGGUCCGGUAGGUCUACUUGCCAGCAACCCCCAAUUUUUACA
rnacentral:misc_RNA from 1 species